GAGAGAAAGGAGAAGAAGAAGAAGCAGGAGAAGAGAAAGGGAGGAGCAAGAAGAGAGGAGCAAGGGGAGCACCCAUCUAAGGAAUAAAACUAAGAGGUGACGAGACAAUGCGGUGCGAGGCCAUCGGCUGUCCAUCAUCACCUAUGAUCUGAGAUGUUGAUGCAGGUAAUCAUCCGGAGUUUUUGGGUGAGGAGCCGACUCUCUACGGAGGUGAACUCCGGAACGAGGAGCUUGCUAUGCACGAGGACAAUUGUGUGUGUGACGAUUGUGCUAUUGGAGCACGCUGAGGAUGAGAGUAAUGUCCUCUAUUUAGAUUGUUUUGUGUGUAUAUAUUUGAGGUAACCCUAGGGGCAUAACCAUAAUUAUGACUUUCAUUGUGAAAAUUCUUUUAGUAAAUAUGAUCAUUAUCAUUAGACUUCACCAGUUAUA